AGAAAUGUCUGAACAGCAAAGGUAUCCAUGGAAUAACAGCUGUGGGACGGAUUAUGAAGGCAAGUGCCACCAGGGAUGAGUACUUCACACUAUACGCAAGGAAAAGUAGUCAUGUAUGGAUGUGAGAGUUGGACUAUAAAGAAAGCUCAGCACAGAAGAAUUGAUGCUUUUGAACUGUCGUGUUGGAGAAGACUCUUGAGAAUCCCUUGGACUGCAAGGAGAUCCAACCAGUCCAUCCUAAAGGAGAUUAGUCCUGGGUGUUCACUGGAGGGACUGAUGUUGAAGCUGAAACUCCCAACACUUUGGCCACCUGAUGCGGAGAGCUGACUCAUUGGAAAAGACCCUGAUGCUGGGAAAGACUGAAGGCGGGAGGAGAAGGGGACGACAGAGGAUGAGAUGGUUGGAUGGCAUCACCAACACAAUGGAUGUGGGUUUGGGUGGAUUCCGGGAGUUGGUGAUGGACAGGGAGGCCUCGCGUGCUGUGGUUCAUGGCGUCGCAAAGAGUCAGACACGACUGAGCGACUGAACUGAACUGAAUUAUCAUUAAUAUUUAAUAAUAAUUAAUUAAUAUACAUUAACCUUAAAAAAAGGAUGAAAUCUG